rnacentral:lncRNA from 1 species
ACACAAUUGAAAUUGACAAUCAAGAAUCAACAAUAAUAACAUUAACAAUCUGAAUUCAUUAUGUAAAUUCGAUCUCACAUUUUGUCCAAACAAAUACACAAAUGAAAUGCAAUAAAACCUAAACGGCGACACUAAGAGUGACACGACAACACUUACAUUGAGAAUGGACUAGAGACGAGAGUGAGACGGCGAAAUUGAGAGUGAGGGAAAUGGUGAGGCCGCGAGAAUGAGUGAGGUGAGGGAAACGGUGAUGCGACAACGAGAGGUCGAGCUUGACGGCAAGGACAGAGUGGGUGACAGUUUCGAGAGCGUGACGUGUUUGAGAGUUAGGGUUCAGACUGUGUGACAUGCGCGAGAGUGAGUGACGUAACGUAAAUGGUGAUGCGGCGGUGAUAGGCUGAGCUUCACGGUGAAUACAUAGUGGGUGAUGACAUUGAGAGGGUUGAGAGUGGGUGACCACAUUGAGAGGGUUGAGAGUAGGUGAUGGAUUCAAAAGUUAGGAUUAAAUGAAAAACAUGAGGGAUAAGAGUGUUGAUGAUGAAGUGAGAGUAUUGAGAUGAGAAGAGGGGUGAUAACUUAUUAUAAAAUAUAAUAUUAAUUUUUCAUAUAAUAUUAAAAA